rnacentral:lncRNA from 1 species
GUAUCUCAAACCUCUGAAUCUUGCCCAAAAACCACAGGAGAAGAACGAUAUAAUCCAACCAAUGAUAUGCAUGGGAAAUCAUAUGAGAAACCAAUGCUAUUAGAACCUUGAGAAGUGCGAGACAAACUAAUUACAAAAUUCAUAGUAAUCCGCUCUUACUUCCGCUGUGGGAUAGGUAGCUUCUAAAGAAAUCCACGUGAUCUCAAGUUCUAGGACUCCACCUACUGACAACACAAACAUCGAGAUCUGAAUUCCUCUUUGUCCCUUUUCAUUCCACACCACCAGCAAUGCUGUCUCAGAUCUCUACAUCUUAUAUGCACCAGGAUGAAUGGAAUAUCUAGAGCGAGUCUUUUGCAAUAUCAACAAAAUCAAAUCACCAAUCCUCAAAUAUCAAGACACCCUCUGGGUCCAAGGUAAUCUUUCUAUCCUCAUCCCUCGAUAUCCGAUUUCUAAUGCCAGACAUUCUACUUUCCUCAAAAUGCCGCCCUGAAUCUAUUCCAACAAAUAAGAAUUAGCCUCAACAUGGGAAAGAAUCCUCCUAGAAUAAAAAAUAUCAAGUUUAACCAACCUUUUGCUAUAGGUGGAUGUCUAAGGAUACUUGUCGACUAAAAGGAAAACCAAAAUCCCCAUACUCACCACUACUAGAAAUUAAAUUUUUUUCGAUAGCUAAUGCAGUCGAAAAAUAAGACAUUUUUGAUGACAUUCCAACUGUUUUAGGGUAGGCGGAAUAAGAGUUUGUCGAAAAAAUAUUUUCGACUACGGCAAUCGCAAAAUGUAAAUUAUAGAAUGACCAAAUAAAAAAUAAUAUUAUGACUAGUGUAGUCGUAAGAUUAAUAAAAUAAUUAAAAAUAAUUACGUAAUAAUUAUAAAUAUUCAGACUACAGUAGUCGAAAGAUUAAUAAAUAAUUAUAGAUAAAAUAUUUUCCACUACUGUGGUUGGAAACUAAUAAUGUAAUUAUUUAAUAAAUAAAAUCUUCGACUACGGUGGUCUGAAAUUAAUAAAAUAGUUCGUUCAAAUUAUUCCGAUAGGUGUCACUUAACUUUUUCUCAAAAAAGCUUUUACUAUUCUGACCAUUGUAGUCGAUUUUUUUUUUUUGUUUUGCCAGCAAUGGUGCUCUUUUUUUUUUUUUUUUUUAGCUUUCACUGCUCUCAUAUUACAAACAAUAGCAACAUAUCAAAUGUAUUUUUCAUAGUAGGAUCUAAAAAUUAUGAACACAACCUAAAAAAAUUCAACCACUUUGAAACAUCCAAAACAGACAUCAAGUCAAAUAGUUUAAACAUUCUAAAACAAGUUUAGGACCAAAUGUCACAAUCCAAAACAAAUAUCGAGUCGAAUAGUUUAAACAUCCCAAGAGAACUGUAAGUUUAAACGUCACAAUCAAAAACAAGAACCAACAACUACAAUCUAAUUAUCAUCAAAUUCACUAUACCAACAGCUACAAUCUAAUUAUCUUCAAAUUCACUAUCUUCCUCAUCAUCAAAUACUUGAGGCAUGUGCUUCUUGACUAACUCCUUAAAUUUAGCAAAUUUGACAAACUUAGCAUUAUUAACUGCACAUUGUUGCGUCAAAUCUUUAAUUUGCUUUGUCAUCGCUUCUAUUUCUUUCAUAUUUUGUGAAGUAGAAAAGGAGCUAGGAAACAAUGGGGAAGGACUAUUUGAGGAUUGGUGAACUCCAAGCCCAUAGGUUCUACCUUUAUUUGGACCACCAACCACAACUGUUCAUAUUUUAGUCAUAUCUGCAAGUGAUGGUUGGACCACGAUACCAUCCUCUGAAGUAGGUUGAGUUUGACGCCAAUCUUCCUUGCCUUAUUGAAAUCCUUCCAAAAAGAAAAAUAAUUGUCAUUAUGUAAACAAGCUAAAUUGAAUAAUGAGAAAUCAACAUAUGUAAAAUUAUUAUUUUACAAUGUAUUCUUAGCACGCGUUUCGAUCCAAUCUUCUCUUGUACCAUCCUUCUUUUUCUUCUUAUGCGUCUCUUCGAAGAUCUAAGAGGUACAUCUUUUCCCCCAUCUUGUGGAAAAAAAAAUGAUUUCCUGAGGCGGAAAAAAAGAUAUCAAAUUUCUACCAAGAUAACUGGAAGUUCCAACUAAUAAGAAGCCUAAUGAACCUAAAAAAAGGAUAAAGGCGCAGCAGAAAUUACUUAUUUUUCGACACCCCGUUAUAAGUUCUAUAUGUUCUGAUCGCCAAGUCAUACUUAAGUAUUAUUGCAAAAUUUAAGAAAAGAGAUACCACAGUUAUCAAAUCUUUGAAGAGAUUAGAGUCUUUUAACUAUAGCAAAGAAACACCUUGUUGAAGCUACUGGAAUAUGAUGCAGAUUCACAUCUCAAGGCAGAGGUGCAAAUUCACUUUAGAAAUAAAACAAAUAAGAGCCACAUAAUAUGUCAAACAAUAUUACCAAUCUUCAUCGGUGGAUAACAAAACUCAUCGAACCUCCAGUGUGCAACGAGCCACCCAUUUUAGAGGCUCGAUUUGCCUUUGCCCGUUCACGCUUCCCUUUAUAUUAGGAAUGUCUCAUAUUUCCAAGAACAUUACCCAAACUUUCUUCGCAAUCCAAUCAGGUCUUCUCAUUUUCUUCCGGGCCUCAUACAAGUGUUCUUUGAUCCGUAGAGAUGCUUUCAAUUGGAAAAUGACAUCUAUUUUAUUUUCAUGACAAGACUUCGAUGCACACUUCGCCUGCAAAAUAGUUUAAUAUAAAGUCAUGAAAUGAGUCAAUGGAUACAAAGGAAAAACUACUUAAUCAUCCACAAUAAGCACACCAUAGUACAUGAACUUGAAAAUAUAAGUGAGCAAUAUGUAUAAUUAAGCAUAAACUACGAGUAAUAGAUUAUUAAUAUAAAAGUAUUGAAAUUCAACGAGGAAAUAACUUGAACCUAGAUGAGCAACACCACCAAAGUUAUUUCCAGCAAGGUGUGCCAUAAGUAUUUGAAGAAUUUUUGGACUAAUUAAUCAGAUUUAACCAAAAAAUCCCACAACAAUCAUAAUACACCAAAGUUAUAGUAAAAAAAAUGCAAAUAUCAACUCUAAAUCCCCAAAAAUGUUCAACUGUUCUUCCUCUUCUCCAACAAACUCCCCUAAAACACAAAGUUAUUACCCCCUCUAAAAAAAUUGGGCACAAACACCUGCUAUAUGUAUAUGAAAACCCCUUUACAGUUAACAUGAGACCAUACAAACUGAAAGAUAUAAAAAGCAUAACAUUAACCCCUAAUUAGAUCCCAAAAUUGAUAUUCUAUAGCUCAACACAAAUCCCUUUGGUAUAUUCUGAUUGAUUAUUCUGAUAUUUGUCAGUUGGAUCUAGUAAAUUUUUCCGGGAUUUCUUCAAAUACUUAUGACACACCUUGCUGGAAAUAUAUCCAACUUGUAAUAUAGUCAUAAUUGUAAGGUUAUUUAUAAUUUUGAGUUUCUUUUGUAUAAUGAAACGUACUACCUUUCCUGCACUUCACUGCUGGUUCUUGAUAAACCACAUCAACUUCACAUAAUCGCACAAUAACAAACUGACUUAUAUCAAGACAAACCCAAGUUUCCAAGCAAUCAACAGAAUGAGAAAAUAAACACCAAAUUCCAAGAACCCCAAACAACAAAAUUUCCCAUUUUUUUGGGAUUUGGUAAAAACAAUAAGUCUUAUCAUACCAGAAAAGAUAGGGUUUAGGGUUUAGGGUUUAGGGUUUAGGGUUUAGGGUUUAGGGUGUGCCAAAGUACAAAAGGUUUUUUCACUUCAUAUUUUACAUUGAACUACAUAGCACAAUAAUAAAUAUCACCAACUAGUUUAAAGGAAUUAACACUAGUUUGUAAAUCUGAAUAUCUUCCAUAGGUUUUUUGAAAUAUAAUAUAUCAAUUCUACUUAGAGACUCAGUGUGCUGAUUUUUUGUGUAGCUCAUAUGUACCAGUACUGCUCCAUUUUGAAUCUAAAUAAUUGAACAUAAGCCUAUCCCAUAAUUCUAAAGUGGACGAGUUCUAACCUCACAGAUAUUUCCUUAACACGUAAAGAUUAAUUUCAAGUCUGGAAUAACAAAUUAAGUAAAAUUAUCCAAUUCCAGUCAUCAUUAGCACAAGAACAAUAUUAUAAUAAAUCAAAUCUAGUCAUCAUUAGCACAAGAACAAUAUGGAUACACACAUACUACAUAAAGAAGAAAGAUUUGGCAACUAUGGAGGCGCCUAAACAAGCUUCUUGGAUGAUAAGAAAAAUUCUAGAUAUGAGGAAACAUUUGCCUAUUUUAAAUGCCAACCAACAAAUCUUUAACAAAGGUAAAUUGUCAUACCUUAGCUCGAAGGGCAUCUAACUUGUAGACAUCACAAUAAUCCACAUGUGUUAAAAGUACUUCAAGGCUGAGAAAAAGAUAGUACACAUGAUGUUUGCUCACAAGAGCUGCCUAACUGAGAGUCCAUGUAUUAUAUUGUGUAAUAUGAAUAGGGGUAAUAGUCCAAUUCAACAUGAUUCAGAAAAAUCUUAAGAUAAAAAAUCAAAAUUGUACAAAUACGUGGGAAGAAAAUGUUACAUGCACUCCUAGACAACUAGUUACUGAUAUUAUUGGGAAGGAGAAACCGCUAAAACUCUUAAGAAAGCUCUUGGUCAGACCAACAAGAAUAAAAGAGAUACUGGAAAAAUAAGGCAAGAAAAAGAGAAAAAGAAGUCUACUGGUUUUGUUCUAUUGACUAAAUAAGAUAGUUUAAAUAUUCCUCCCUCCCCCACCCAGCUUGGAUCAGCCAGCAAAUGUCUAAUGUAAUCUCAACAUAAUUCAUACUAGUUCCAGCACAGUUUAUGUAGACUUGAAUGAUGAAUACAGAGUUGUCAACUCCGAAGAUGAAUUUGAGAAAUACAAACAACUUAUAAUGGAAGGGGAGGUAGAAGAAGAGCUCAAUGAAUACUUGAUCAAAGCAUUUGGUUCCACAUAUAAUAGUGAAUUACAAGAGAAGGUGAAACAAGUGUAUAAUCAACAAGGGUUAUCACUCAAAGACGAAUCAUGAAAGGAUCACAAAUCAAUAAAAGGCUAAUGAUUAGUACUUUCAUUUGGAAUGCCAGGAGUAUCAACACCAAAGGAGCCUUGGAAAGAAUCUAAAACCUUGUCAAACAAAAAACUAAAGUUCACAAAGGAAGAGAAGAAUAUUAAUGAAGAGGUCUUAAAUUGCAUUACAAGAAUAGUUGCAAAGGAUUAGAAUAUACCGUAAACUGAUUCCACAUUAGAAUUUUUAUUUUGUAUGGAAUCUUAUUCCAACUACCCCACAUCUCUUUAAAAAUGGUUUAGUUAAUUCUGUAACCAUAUGCCCGAAGCUAUAUGUGGGAAUGAACUUGCAAUAAAACUAUAUUAAACCAUCUUAGCUUUCAAAUUUUAAAAAUGAAGGAAAAACAUAAGGGUUGCUUACCCAUCACCACCAGUGACAAUAAUUAGCCUCCCAAAAUUGUCAUAUUCUAAUACCUCUUUAAAUUUCAGAUUCUGGGAGGCAGCUGCUGUAGCAUUAGACGCUGUAGCACUAUUAAUAAAGGGAGAUGAUGUGCUAGGACCUUUAAUUCUCAAUACAGAAAGGCUAAGUGUGGAUGAUGUAGAAGGCACAAAUAAAGAGCUACUAUGCAGACUAUUAUGAGGAGAAGUGAUGUGGAACUGGUCAGAUGGUAGCGGCAUAAAAAUGCAUUUGGUAGUGAAAUAGUUGACUAGGAGGAGGAGGAAAAUUUGCAGUAUCUGGUGGAGAAGUUGUGGUAAUAGGUGGUGGUGGUGGUGUAUAUUGACCUGCAGGAGGAUUAUCAGGUCCUUUCUUACUUUUCUUACGUUGUCCAUUACCAUUACCCUUUUGCGCCAUUAAUUUUUUUUACUAACCACCUGAAGAAGAAAGAACAACCAAAUUAGAAAACAACCUAUUUUUCAUAAAAGUAAAUUUCAACAUACAAAUCAGUUAUGUAAUGAAUGAUAGAAAAUAAUUACUUUGUGCUUGUAAGGGACAACAACUAAGAUUUCUCAACCAUUAUCAAUUAAAACAUUUAUGUUUUUCCAUCAUUUCAGAAAUCUUAAAAUAAUGGAUGAAUUAAUAUAGUUAAGUAGUACCGAUUAAACAAAACAGACAACACAUAUAUACUACAAAAAUUCACCACUGCUAUUUAAUCAAACAACUAUCAAUGUUCUUACCGCCACUACAAAUGUUAACAGAAAAAAGACACUAUAUUGUCAAGUAAAAUAGCAGAAAGUACAAACUAAAAUACAAUUUAAGACCCUGUUGCUACACAUUACUACUAUUAAUAGCAUUUCAAUCCUCAUUGCUUGAUUCAUAGUCAUUCAUUAAUUCUUCGUCAUCGCUUGAUUCAUAGUCAUUCAUCAAUUCUUCCUCAUCACUUGUUUCAUUUUCAUCAAGUAACUAUUCCUCACUUGUAUCAUUUUUAUCGAGUGACUCUUCCUCGCUUAUUUUAUUUUCAUUAGUUGGAUCUUGUCUUUUGCCCCGAAUGUUCCUUCUCCAUAAUCAUUAACAUUCAAUCUAAGUUCAGAAGGAUCAAAUUUUUCAUAUAGGCCUUUACUAUGCUGCAACUCACUUGCUAAUUCAUCAUCCACCCUUUCUUCAACACUUGAAAUGUCAUUCUGAUACGCUACAUCCAAUGUAUCCUCUACAUCAACUCUACCCACCAGCUUUGUUUUUAUAACUACCCACCUUGCAGAUUUUUUCUUACACAAAGGAUAAGGAGCAUAAUACACUUGUUUCACAUUUUAUGUAAUGACAAAUAAAUCAUAGAGUUCAUACUCCCUUGUAUGCUUAAUUUCAAUAAUUUUGUAUUGAAGGUGCACCUUUGUACCUAACCUAGCAUAGAAUCGUACCACUUAUACCAACAGAGUACCAACUUCUUUUUUGGCCAACCAACAUGAUAAUCGAGUUCUAAAAUCUCAAGAAGCAUACAGUAAUAAUCAUCACCACCAUCACCUUUAACCCACACCUUACUAUUGUUUGUUUUCUUUCCCUUAAAGAACUCUUCCGUAUGAAAUUUGUACCCAUUGACAGAGUACCUAGAAAAAUUUAUGACUUUAUCAUUAGGUCCCUAAGCUAUAUGAUGUAAGAAUUGGUCAUUUGGGUCAUAAUUAACUGAAUUAUGAACCUAUAAAAAGUUCAAACAAAGUUAGAACUUAAAUAUACAUAAAACUGAAUAAAAGUGUAAAUUGUGUUAAAUAUUAAAGUUACACUUACAUUUUCACUAAACCACACUGAAAACAUAGGAUAAACAGCAGCAUGCCCAUGCAAAGCCACAAAGUAGUUGUUCGACAAAGUUAUGACUUUCAUUAGUUAAAACUUAGAUAGACCUUGAAUGAUUGCUGCUAAUAUAAAGAUACUCACUUAUAAAAAGGUAGGACCUCAGGGAAAUUUAAUAAUACAUGUGUUGUAGCUGACUUAAACUCCACCUCAUUCAAAUAUUAAGCUGGACCAAGUUUCGGACUUCCUUUACCUGGUUGAUUGAAUAUUAAAAAUGGUGGUGCUGAAAGAUCUGUAUUGUGUCCAUCAUCAUGCCUAUUACGUCUGUUUCUUAGACAUGACACAUCAUGUUCGAAAUAAUAUGAACAAAAAUUAGAGGUAUCUUUAGCCAAAUAAACCUUACAUAUUGACCCCUCAAUACAUUUGCCAAUGGUCCUGUAUAGUAUGAUCUUUUAGAUGAACUUAUAUACAUCCAUCUACACUGAAAAAGCCCUCCAAGUCGUGCCUCUCGCACAAGGUGAAUUGGAUAAUGCUUUAUAACAUCAAGAAAACCAAGAGGAAAAUUUUUUGCCAACUUGUUUAAGGUUAAGUGAAUAUUGAUAUCAAUCAAAGAUAGGUUAUCCUCCCUUAAUGUGUUAGAACACAAAUCUUUGAAAAAUAAGCUUAUCUCUGUUAUGGGUUCUAUAUUUUAUUGGGCUAUGCACUAAAUGCAAUAGGCAUUACUGACUCCAUGAAAAUGUGACAGUGAUGGAUCUUCAUAGACGUCAACUAACCUUUUUUCAUGUCAACACACCUGGAUAAAUUUGACGCAUAUCUAUCUGGCAUUCUCAAAUUCUUAACCUAAUCACAAAUCGCUCUUCUAUCAUCUAAAAUGAAUGUGUAACUAGCCUUGAGAUUCUAAACCUUAUUGUUUAACUAUGUCGGGCACAACUCGCCAAUAAUACUCCUUUAAGUCCAUCCUGGCCUUCAAGUUAUCUUUUGUUUUGUUACUUACAUCCAUCACAGUAUUAAAUAAGUUGUCAAAAAAGUCUUUUUCAAUAUGUAUGACAUCCAGAUUUUGAGGCAGAAGAUUAUGCUUUCAGUAAUCUAACUCCCAAAAUAUGCUUCAUUUGGUCCAAUUAUGUGUAACACUAUCCUGGAUGGUGGAGACUCUGUUACCUCUAGCAGAUUCCUCACUCUAUCCCAAAUUUUUUCUCGCGACAAGAUUGGUGGUGGCUUCUCAAAAUCAGACUUAUUCUUUAUAAAAUCACUAGUAUUUCUCCUAAACUCAUGUUGCAUCGGCAAGAAUUGACGGUGACAGUCAAACCACGAGUUUUGACCCUCAUUUUUCAAAGUGAAUGCUUUUGUGUCUUCCAUACUACAAGGACAAGCUAACUUUCCCACAGUCGACCACCUAGACAAUAUUUCAUAAGCAGAAAAGUCAUUUAUAGUCCACAUCAAAGCAUCACAUAAUCUAAAGUUUUGUUUGAUUGGUACAUCAUAUGCUUCCACACCUUCGUGCCAUAAUAAGUUCAACUCAUUAAUUAGUGGUUGCAUAUAUACAUCAAUUAAACAUUUUGAUUACAAGGACCUAGAAUAAUGUAAGUUAGAAAUAUACAUGGAUUUGUCAUACAUAACUCAGGUGGGAGAUUAUGAACAGUCAUAAAUACUGGCCAACAUGAAUAUCGUGUCACUAAGACAGAAAAUGGAGUGAAUCCAUCAAUAGAUAACCCCAACCUAAUGUUUCUUGGCUCACUAGAAAAAUCUAGAUACACACUAUCAAAAUGCUUCUAUUCUUCUCCAUCUGAUGGAUGACAUAAAACACCAGGUGGUCUUUUAUGUUCAUAGUGCCAUCUUAUAUGAGGGGCAGAGCUCAUUGACGUAUACAACCUCUUUAACCAUGGUAUAAGGGCUAAGUAGUGCAUCGACUUUAUUGGAAUCUUCUUCCCUUUGUCAUUAUUCACUUCCUUAUAAUGAGGUUGGUUAAAAAAUUUACAAUGUUCUAAAUCUGCAUCUUCCUUAUAGAAUAACAUGCAACCUUUCCCGCAAUAGUGAAUCCUCGCUGAUAAAAGUCCUAACUUAGAAAACAACUUCUUUGUUGUGUAGAAAUCUUUGGGUAAGUCAAAUUUAUUUGUAUUAAGCUCAUUCAUAAGUUCAAUGCUAGAAUACAUGCCCUCUUGAGAAAUAGAAUAAUCUGACUUAAUUCUUAGUAACCUAACUGCAACAGAUAACUUGGAAUGCAUUGACCCUUCAUACAGUGGAUGACUAGCCUCCUUUCACUUUUCAUAAAAGUGGUUAGCCUUAUAAUUUGGUUCAUUUUGAGACCAUGAGUUUUUCCCAAACACAUCCCUAACCAUCUCACUAUAUUGAGAACUUUUGACAUUAUUCUUUCUUAUGGGGCUUCUCUCACCACCAAAUGAAUUCUAAAAAGCAAAAUUAUUAGCAGCAAUACUCUCUCCAUGGGCGAUCCACACAGUAUACUUCAACAUAAAUUCAUUCUUUUAAAGAUGUAACUUAACAAAAUUUGGACUCAAUAACUUGGAACACUUUUAUUUCAGACAAGGACACCUAAUUGUCCGUUCAAUAAGAAAAUCAUCAAGGGUCAUUGCUUUAGAAAUAAAUCCAGCUACCCCAUCUUUAUAUUCCUCCCUCGACCCUGUACGGUUAAGAUAUGUUCUAUUGUACAUCCAUGUGCGAUCUGCAUUUUCCAUCUACACAAGAAUGACAACAAUAACAGUAAAAAAGAGAAACAAAAGCAGGAGAACCAAAACAAUGAAAAUAGGAUUAAAAACACCAACAAUAGUUAUAGUAAUAGUGAACACGGGACAAUGAACAGAUCAUGUCAACAUUUGCUACUUGUUGGUUUAAGAAAAUACAUGUCCAGAAUUUUUAUAGUAGUUGAAAACAGAUCUUUAAGAGUGCUAGUCUUCCAAAAACUAGAGAAAGAGUAGGUGGUUUUCAAAGAAAUAACAUGGUAAGGUUUUUCUAGUUAACAAAAAUUUAUGGACAAUACCUGCGAAAUCAUAAACAAUACCACCAAGUAUAAUCCAAGUACAUUACUACAACUCAACUCAAUAAAUUUUCACUUUCUGAAAUGUAAAUCAUAAUACACUCAUUGAAGAUACAUUUUGCUUUUAAUAGACGUGUCUACCCUCCGGUAUUCAUUUCUGGAAGCAUAAGAAAUGAACAAAGCGGAGGCAAUGCACUCCUAAUAGAAAUAGUACUUGGGCAAGGAAAGCAAAUUCCUAUGUGAGUUACAUUGAAUAAGACAAAGUAAAAAACUACAAAAACAGAGCGCAACUCAGAUAUCUCAGGUGUCCUUCAUCUUCAACCUGAAAGACAAAGAUAAAGCAAAAGAUUUACUAUACUUAAAUUGCACAUGUGACUAAUUUGGUUUGUUACCAGUUUGUUUAAAUCUUUAUACCUGUAAUACCUACUUAUUUGUAUCUCAACUAAUCAUUUGAUAAACCCGUGUAUGAAAAGUGGGGCAGAUGAACUAUUAUAAACUUCAUCAUACAGAUAAAUUUGCACUAAAACUUUGACAACCCAACCAUGCCUUUGGAACUAAUUCCAUUUUCUUACCAAUAUUAAUGCACAUAACAAAUAUUUUAUAAACAUUUGCAUUACAAAAUAAAGCAAAUUUAACAAUCUAUUUAGCAUAACUGUUCACACAAACAAAAAGCCAAUAUAGAACUAAAUGAUAUACACAUAACCAAAUCCAUUUCCUCUCCAUUACUUUUAGUUUCGAAUCACAACAGUGAUUCAAACCAGCUUGAUCACACCCCAACUAAUCAUUUGAUAAACCUACCCACCAAAAAUUGGGGCAGAUGAACUAACAUUAAGCUUAUUAGAUGGAAUUUCUCCUACAUCUCAACCAUACCUUUGGCACUACUUCCUCUACAACAUUAAAAUACAUAGCAAAUCUCAUCGGAACACUAAAGUUAUGAAAUAAAAUAAGUCUAACCAUCUUUUUGACAUUACACUUCACAAAAUCAGAAUACUAGUACAGAACAAAAGAAUAUAAGAGCAUGAAUAAAAUAGAGCAUUUCAAUGUUAACAUUGUGCCAAGAGUGUGCCUCUCUGGCUAUGCUCAAUACGGCAACAACUACCAUUACUACAUCUCAACCUUAAGCAAUUGGUUGGGGUCAACUAUGUAUAUAUGACAUGACCAUGUUGCUUCAUUUAGCAUAGGCAAAGUUAUAUGUAAUCUUGAAUUUGGAUUCGCAAUAGUCGCAAACACCGAGAAAAAAAGAAGGUUUUGCAUGACUGUUAAUCUGCGAAACAGUUAGCAACCUAGAAAAAAACCAAGUGAACUGAAACAUAAAUCAAGUGUAAAAUUAUUGUGAAUAUAAUUAGAAGAGUGAGCUAGUAUCUCAGUAUCUUUGCAUGACAAUUAAUUUAGAAACAGUUAGCAACCUAGAAAAAGCCAAGUGAACUGAAACAUAAUUCAAGUGUAAAGUUGUUGUGAAUCUAAUUAGAAGAGUGAGCUAGUAUCUCCGUAUCUUUGAGUAAUAGGCAAUACAGAAGCAUCAACACUAUAGUUUAGCUUUAUCUAGCUUGUUUUCACCUUGACCAGAAUAUUAAUUACUUUCUGGAAUUGAUGCUUUCAAAGUAAGAGAGUAGCUAGUUUAGCAAAUUGCCAAAGCAUUUACCGAGCAAGAGUAGAUAUCGUAAAAAUAAACAAAACAAUUCUCUUGAUAUGUAGCUAGUUUUGCUAUCAAGAAUGCUAUUUUUGCACAUUUCCAAUGAGUUAUGUAAGCCCAAUAGAUCUUACAAAAAUCAAUAAUGUAAGGCCUAACUUUCUGUGGAGUUCAGGAAACUUGAGGGGCCUUUUAUUUGCCACCAAGGACUUUGGCGUAUCACAAAAGGGCUCAAACCCCUCACCAAAGCUGUUUUCUUCUCCAAGUUAAACUCACUCACUCUUUAUGGAACUUCAAGCUCAUUGCCAAAACAAUAAUGGUGGUUUCAACUUAAAUUCAUGAUGGGUAUUUAGACUUCUCCAAUUUGACACCUAAUUACUCAAGCAUUAACGAAAACCCAAAUUCACAACAAAGUCCUAAUUUUGAUUUCUCACUCAAUUCUUACUCUAUUAAUCCAGCGGAGGAAUUCAUAGUUUCACAUAAGAAAUUAACACCUAGACUUGCUUAAUUUCAUGGAAUAACUAAUUUUUCUUUUUCUCAUAAUUAAUUCCAAAAUCCAACAUUUGGAAGAUUGACAUUCCAAAUCCACUACGACCAUCCCAUCACACCCUACCCACCUCUCCAUAACCCCCAAAACACAAUGCAACCCCAAUCAAAAACCUAAAUAGACGCCCAAUAACAGAAUUAAUCAAAAAUAAAAUAAAUGUAAGUUUCAACUCACUGUCGCAGUGCCUUCACCACCAACAAAAAGGGCCCAAUACUACCAACUCACUGUUGCCGUCACCACCAAAAAUCCGCCAUCGCCGCACUACCGGAAUGCUAAUACCCUAGUUUAGAGAGAGACAGAGCAGUGAGAGAGAGGGUAGUGAGAUUUAUAGAGAGAGGAAAUUUCUUACAAUAUAAAUGAAAUAUUUAAAUUACAUUUUUUUACAAUUAUUUACUAAUUAAAUAAUAAUAUAUUUAAUUAAUUAUUUAAUAUUUUUGACUACUGAGUUCUGGUAAAUAUAUAAUCAUAUAUUUGAUUAAUUAUUUUUAAAUUUUUCGACUACAUAAGUUGAAUUAUAAUUCUAUUAUUAAUUAAUAUUCUUAAAAUAUUCUGAUUGAAAUGAUGAAAACAUUUGGUAAAAAUAAGAUUAACAAUUUAUAUAUGCAGUGAUCGACUACUGUAGUUGGAAUAUAUUUCCAAGAAAUUAUUGCCAAAUCUUAUGGUUCUUGUUGUCAGAAAUAAUAUCAGACAUUUUAUAAAAAACAAAAAUUAAAAAUUAAAAUUUUUAAUUAAAGUAGUCGAAAAUUUGAGAUUGAUUUUAUUUCGUGAGAAUUUUCAAUAAAAAAAUAUGAAUUUCGAGUAGUGCACCGCCUUUUGGCUCAAGGUAUUCGCUACCACAUUUGCCUUGCCUGAAUGGUAUAAAAUGGAAAUUUCAUAGUCAUUUAGAUUGUGAUUCUUCUAGCUCAAAAUGUACUGAAGGAUAUGAUCAUAUGUAAAUAUCUCACAGUGAACACCAUAAAGGUAGUGCCUCUAAAUCUUAAGCGCGAAAAUUACUGCCACCAACUCUAUGUCAUGGGUGGGUAGUUACGCUCAUGAACUUUUAGUUGUAUAGAAUAAUAUUCUAUCACUCAUCCCUAUUGCAUCAGAACAAAACCUAAAACAACACUUGAAGAAUCACAAUUGACUAAAAAAUCUGGCCUUCAACUAGAAUAGUCAAAAUUGGAGAUAAGUUAGUAAGACCUAGAUCUUCAGAAAGCUCACCUCACACUCACCGAACCAUUGCAAUGAAAUAACCUUCCUAUUUAAUAUGAUCAAUAGCUCUAUAAUAAAAAAUAACCCAUCAAUGAACCAUUUGUUGUUACCUACCAAUGCAAUGAAACCGCAAACCUCAAUAGGAGAAGUGGGUCUAGCCCAAUCAUAAACUACCUUAAUCUUCUCAGGGUCUACUAUAAUUCCUUUUUUUGACAUUACAUUCCCUUAGAAUGCUACAAAAUCAAACCAAAACUCACACUCUAUGAACUUGGUAUAAGGCCCCUGAUUUGUCAUAUUCUAGAGCAUAAUACUCUAUUAUUUCUCAUGCUCUUCCCUACUCCUCGACUAAAUAAGAUGUUGUCAAUGAAUACUAUCACGAGUGACUCGAAAUAGGGCUUAAACAUAUGGUUCAUCAGGUUUAUGAACAUUGUUGGGGAAUUGGUCAACCUAAAAGACAUCACCAGGAACUUGUAAUAGUUGUACAAGUUCGAAAGGUUAUCUUAGGGAUGUCUACCACCCUAAUCUUCAACUGACAGUAGCCAAAUCUUUAGUCAAUCUUUUAACAAAUGAUACACCUUAGAGUUAGUCAAAUAGAUCAUCAAUACAUGGCAUUUGAUACUUAUUUCUUAUAGUUACCUUAUUCAGUUGUCGAUAAUCAAUACACAUAUGCAUAGAACCAUCUUUCUUCUUUACAAAUAGAACAGGAGAACCCUAUGAAUAAUUACUUGGUCUGACGAAACACUUCCCUAGAAGCUCCUGAAGCUGAACAUUAAUCUCUGUCAAUUUAGCAGGGGCUAUAUGAUAAAGUGGAACCAAAAUAUACCUAAUUCCCAAAUCAACAUGAAUAGAAAAGUCAAUAUCACACUCAGGCGAGAGGCUAGGUAAGUUAGUAGAAUAGACAUUAGCAAACUCAAGAACCACAAGAAUAGAAUCAAGGGAAACAGUGUUGGCACUAGUAACUGUACUUAAGUAAGAUAAGACAAACACCCCUUCGAAACCAUCCUCAUUUCCUAAAUGUAAGAAACAAUCCUUGUCGAUACAUGACUAUUAAAACCCACAACAUAGGUACGGGAAUUCCAGACGUAACUAAGGUAAUAGUUUGGCUAAGCAAUCCAAGACUGUGAGAUAAGGGUAUAACAAGUUGAUGCAUAUAAUAGCAUCAAAAUCAACCUAGUACAGUGGCUACACAUAUAGACAAAUAACCUGACCCAACCUGGGGCCUUAUCGUAACGGGUAUCUGGAGUCCAACUUGGAUCGGGGGCUACCCCCGAUACCCAACCCAACCAUCCAAAUGCAUACCCUGAGUCAGAUGAAUUCUGAACAUAUAACAAGAUAGCAUUUAUUAUGAUACUAGACUCUGGGAUAGGUCUAUAACUGUGACCAAUCCAAGUGAGUCCAACCAUCUAUUACCAACUAAUAACCAUAACCAAACUAAUAUAAAAACCAAGUUCCUUUCUAUAACAUAACAUAAAAGUAUGGAAAAAUCAUAAAUUCAGUCCAAGGGUAUCAGCACCAAUAUCAAUGCUAAUACUAAGACUGACACCAAUACCGACACCACCUAUUCCAACCCAUAGUAGUUACACAAGCCUCUAACCAAAAGAAAAACAAUAUUCAAUUGGGAAAUGACCCCAACCAUAGCCAAAAACAAUAUCCAUAGAACGACCAAAGUAUGUAAAAACAUCUAUGGUAUGAAAUAGAGCCUCCAGAGUAUGAAAGCUCACCACUUCAAUCCAAUAGCUGAUCCUAAAUCCAAUCACUAAGUAAGAGGAGUAGAAUGGCUAGUUCCUACAUUGCGUAGGGAUACAACUAUCCGAAGAUGGGUUAGCAGGUGAACGUUACCAUGAAAUUAGGAUAAGGAUAAAAUAAUGUCAUCUAGUAAAACCAGGUAAACCAACCAUAUGCAUACAAACUACACACACAAAAAAACAUAUAUAUAUAUAUAUAUAUAACCAUGUUAGGAAAGAGAGCUGGGUCUAGCAUGCCUUUAAAACCAUUAACUUGGGUAUGUGUAGCUUAACCGUCCUAGAAUCACCCACGUGCUAUGUGUCUAGUGUAACCCCCUGAAUGAUCCCCGAUGCAUGUAGCAGUACAAACUGAAAAUACUAUAAGCGUAAGGGAUUCUCGAGUACCCUUCUAUCUCCAUGAUACAUAUGUACAGUGUACUUAGAGGAUUCCCAUGUACCUCAUAGUAUCAUAUAUGGUCACUAUAACCAACCCUUAUGUGGCAAACAUAAGUUUCCCGUAUCCGUCCAUUGGACUCGCACCCUCACGGUUAGCUAUCACACCCCAACAUUGUUGCUGAAUUAAAACCAUUACCAUCUAACCAAACCAUUAUUCCAUUAUUAUUAAUUAAGGCUAUAAGUAGUGGUAUCAUCAUACUGCCUAUAGCUUGCAAGCAAUGUCCUUAGCCAACCUUUUAUGUAAAGGGAUUCCCAUGUACCCGUAGAUUACAUUAUUAAGUUAACUUGGGGGAAUCCCAUGUACCCCAUAAGUGUCGUAUUAUUAAGUUUUCUUGGGGGAAUACCAUGUACCCCAUAGGUUGUCUAUCAAUAUAUUUACUCGGGGGAUUCCCUUGUACCCCAUAAGAAAGUUUAAUUAACCAUAACCAUGACCACUAAACCUUACCAUUUUAACCAUUCCAAACCAUUUAAACCAUUUAUACCAAUUAGGGUUCCAUUACCAAACCAUACUAUUUAAUAGUUCCAUUAAAAAUCUAAUAGUCUAGUAAAAGCAUUCUCAUAGAUAUUUUAUCAAACACAUUGGGGGAAUAGUGUUUCCAAAAUCAAAACCAAAACCAAGUUCCAAUUAACCAUUCCCAUGCUAUCAAAUGUUCAAACCACCAUUAAAACAUAUAAAUCCAUAAUUAAAACAUGGAAAAACCAUAACCAAGCAUUUAUAACCAAAACCCCAUCAUAUAGUUAAAAACCCAAAACCAUACAUAAAAUUCUGCCAUGAAAACAUUGUAUAAAAUAUGCAUUUAUUUGGAACUAACAAUGAGGAAGGAGUAAUAUUCCUUAGAUUAUGAAGACAAUGGAGAGAAAUUACUUGUACAAGUCCCAAAUUGAUCCUCUAGAUGAAACCCUAGCCUUUCUUUACCCAAGAGUCAUAGAGAGAAUUAAAGAGUGUUUCUAAGUGUUUAAGUUUAGAAUAAUAGGGCAAAUAAUAUCCCAAAAGAGUUAUAAGUCAUGGGGCCUUAAGAGGUUAAGUAGGGAAAUAUCCAAAUUACACCUACUUAAACUGCUUUAAAUUCUCAUCAGAUGGUACGACUACCCAUACCUGUCAUACCAUCUAAUACAAGUUGUCUCCACCACUCGUACCCUAGGCCUCCCCCUUGGACCCAGCACUAUCCACUAUAUGACUUACCUAGCACAAGUCAUACAUAACCAUAUAAUCAGUACCCCUAAACCAUAUCCCUGGCAAAAUAGAAUCAAAGGAGGUUUGAUCACUGUCUUCCAUAUGAGUCAGUAGUAUGAAUUAUACCCUAUCUCAUUGCUCAUGGUGAGCCACUCAUACUCAGACCCAACUUAAGUUACUAAGUCUUAGAUUAAGUAAAGGAAAAACCCAUCACUAACCAUACGACUUGUACCUACCAAGUCGUACCCAUUCCAGAAACUAAUCCCACCUACUAACCAACACUAGUUAGUAUACGACUAAGAUUAUACCAACUGUACCCUACCAUAUGGCUGGUACCCAUAAGUCGUAUAAUGUCUAGAAACUAAAAAUCCAGGAAAUUUUCUAAGGGUCUAAACCUAGGGUGUUUUAUCCAAAGCAAAGGUUCUCUAAUAAUCCCGAACUAAGAAGAAAAAUAUAUCAUCACAUAAUAAUAAAUGGAACUUAAGUCAAAUAAAAUAAAAGCUAACAGUCAACACAUUGAAAUCAUACUUGUGAUUACUAAGUUAGAUGGCUUUGCUUUGGCCUACAAGAAAAUGCAUAUAACUAUCCGCGCCCACUACCAAACUAAGAACCUAACCAACCACCUAUAUUUCCUGACAGACCACCUCCACAAGGACCCUGAGAACCAUCCUUAAUGCUUUAGAAACCACCUUUAGCCUAUGAUAUUCUUGAUUUUAGAGGCUAAGUUUUUGUUUUGAAUGCUCGAUUAUCUCAUAUUAGGGACACUCUUUAGAAAAAUUACUAUCAACUCCACAAUAUAGAAAGACCAAGGUAUACUACUGUAAUGAGAUGAACUGGUUGAUCCAAACUGACCACCAUGACCUAAAGACCCAAAAUAAGAAUCUAAUAAUGAAUGAUUGGAUCUCUGACCACGAAAAUCACUAUAAUAUGGCUGACCAUUAUCAGUAAUCUAAGUUAUUUUUGAACCAACUAGAUAUAACCAUGUUGCUAAUAUUACUGGCUAUUACCAGGGAAACCCCUACCACAGAACUGCGAUCCAGUGUGACUACCACUGAAACAACUCUAAUGAUGGGGUAUUUUGUCAUUGCCCCUAUGGGCCUAUAGAUACAAAUCCAUAAUAGUGCAGGUAUGAUUAAUAAUCUAAGAAUGAUAGACCUAAUGAUACCAUGCUCUUAGUAGAUAGAUGAAGUUGCAGUCUUAAUCUCCUAAAGAAGCAACACACUCUCUCAUGUUUAGUAGGUAGAAUACUAGUAUCAUGCUUUGCUAACUUAUUAACCUAGACUUAUACUUGAAAACAAUCAUGGAACCCUACUCCAACCUCAAAAACUCAUUCCUUAGUUUCUCAUAUACACUAUGGGGUAUAUACUUCCCUAAAUAGCCUCACAAAACUUAUAAAGACUUGAUUUUUGUGAAUUAUUCACUUUUAUGUGAUUUGACUAUUUUAUCCCUUAUCGUGGUUGCUUUGUGGUAUUUCUAGGGUGUGGGUAUAAUCUACCUAGUUCCCAAUACUUUUCAAUGUGAUUUGUGUGAGUUUUAGUUUUUCAAGGUUUGACUUUGGUCAACGUUUAUUAUUUUAUGCAUUAGAUGGUAAAACAGACUAUGCUAGUAGAUCCAGAAUAUCGAUUUACAUUGGUAACAUAGUUGGUGUGAUUUUAUAUCUCAUUUUUAUCCUCAUAUUGAGAGGUUGUGAAAUUAGGUCUCGAGGGUCAAUUUUUUUAAUAUGAUAUUUUUUUCAAAAAUAUGAUAUUUCAUUAUGUCUGGAGCAUCAAAUUUGAUAGGGUAGCAUAGUUCAUUUACGUUCUUGGGAUUUUGGAUGAAUCUUGAGGGGUUGAUGGAGACUUGGAAUUCUCAAGUCUCCAAGAUGCUCCAAUUAGUUAGUGCAUCUCCUUAAGCGACACUUGGCUCUCUUACGCGAAGUCCGCUUAAGUGGCCAGUCUGUCGCUUAAAAGACCUAGCUUCACAACUAAUUUUUGCCUAAGCAAGACCCCCCCUGCUUAAGCGAUGCGUACAGAUUUGGCGGAUACCACCUAAGAGGUACUUGGCUGCUUAAUCGGUGACUGCUUAAGCUGUCCAAUAUCCGCUUAAGCAAUACCUGGGUAAUAUAAUAUCCCUUUCAUGAUUUUUUCCCACCAUUUUGAGACUUGGAGAUUGUGUUUUAGAGUUUUUGGGUAAUUUCUUAUAUUUUCAAGCUUGGGUAAGCUCCUAAUCCCUAUUUUUAUUAUUUUUAUUCGAUUCUUGUCAUCUAAUGCUUGUUAAAACUCGAUUUCAAAUGUGAAAUUUGGAAAUUUUGGCCCGAAAAGCCUAAAUUAGUAUUUCUUCAAUUUAAACCCCAAUUUCAAUUCGUUUUUACUUGGGUUUUCUUCUAUGGGUUCCUUUAAUAACGGAUAAAACAUUUUUGAAAUAAAAUUCUAGUUUUACCUUUAUUUUUUAAAAUCCAUUUUGGGGUUUUGUUUUGAUGUCAACUAAAAAAUGAGCAAUAUAGGUAUCAUUGGCUUUAUUUUAAUGCAUAGAUCCUAUAUUUCUAUGUUUUAGUUAAUUUCAAGUUCAUUCAUGAGGGGAAGGUU